rnacentral:tRNA from 1 species
AGAAACUUAGGAUAACUAUUAAACCAAGGACCUUCAAAGCCCUAAACAGGGGUUAAAAUCCCCUAGUUUCUG